UUACACAUGCAAGUCGAACGGCAGCACGGACUUCGGUCUGGUGGCGAGUGGCGAACGGGUGAGUAAUAUAUCGGAACGUAUCCAAUAAUGGGGGAUAACUAAUCGAAAGGUUGGCUAAUACCGCAUACGCCCUACGGGGGAAAGCUAGGGAUCUUCGGACCUGGCGUUAAUGGAGCGGCCGAUGUCUGAUUAGCUAGUUGGUGAGGUAAGAGCUCACCAAGGCGACGAUCAGUAGCUGGUCUGAGAGGACGACCAGCCACACUGGAACUGAGACACGGUCCAGACUCCUACGGGAGGCAGCAGUGGGGAAUUUUGGACAAUGGGCGCAAGCCUGAUCCAGCCAUUCCGCGUGAGUGAAGAAGGCCUUCGGGUUGUAAAGCUCUUUCGCAAGGGAAGAAAACUUAGUUACUAAUAUUAACUGAGGUUGACGGUACCUUGAUAAGAAGCACCGGCUAACUACGUGCCAGCAGCCGCGGUAAUACGUAGGGUGCGAGCGUUAAUCGGAAUUACUGGGCGUAAAGCGUGCGCAGGCGGUUUUGUAAGUCAGAUGUGAAAUCCCCGAGCUCAACUUGGGAACUGCGUUUGAAACUACAAGACUAGAAUAUGUCAGAGGGGGGUAGAAUUCCACGUGUAGCAGUGAAAUGCGUAGAGAUGUGGAGGAAUACCAAUGGCGAAGGCAGCCCCCUGGGAUAAUAUUGACGCUCAUGCACGAAAGCGUGGGGAGCAAACAGGAUUAGAUACCCUGGUAGUCCACGCCCUAAACGAUGUCUACUAGUU
rnacentral:rRNA from 1 species